UACGGAGGGUGCAAGCGUUAUCCGGAUUCACUGGGUUUAAAGGGUGCGUAGGUGGGCAAGUAAGUCAGUGGUGAAAUCUCCGGGCUUAACCCGGAAACUGCCAUUGAUACUAUUUGUCUUGAAUACUGUGGAGGUCAGCGGAAUAUGUCAUGUAGCGGUGAAAUGCUUAGAUAUGACAUAGAACACCAAUUGCGAAGGCAGCUCACUACACAGCGAUUGACGCUGAGGCACGAAAGCGUGAGGAUCAAACAGG
rnacentral:rRNA from 1 species